rnacentral:rRNA from 1 species
GUGACUAUAUGUUUAACGGCCGCGGUAUUUUGACCGUGCGAAGGUAGCGCAAUCACUUGUCUUUUAAAUGGAGACCUGUAUGAAUGGCACGACGAGGGCUUAACUGUCUCCUUCCCCAAGUCAAUGAAAUUGAUCUCUCCGUGCAGAAGCGGGGAUAGACCCAUAAGACGAGAAGACCCUAUGGAGCUUUAGACACUAAAACAGCCCAUGUUAAAAACCCUCACAAAAGAGACUAAACUAGAUGGUCCCUGUCCUAAUGUCUUUGGUUGGGGCGACCACGGGGUAACAAAAAACCCCCGCGCGGAACAGAAACACUGUUUCCAGAACCAAGAGCACCCGCUCUAAGUAACAAGACCCACUUGACCUUUGAGAUCCGGCAUUAGCCGAUCAACGGACCGAGUUACCCUAGGGAUAACAGCGCAAUCUUCUUCGAGAGUUCAUAUCGACGAGAAGGUUUACGACCUCGAUGUUGGAUCAGGACAUCCUAAUGGUGCAGCCGCUAUUAAGGGUUCGUUUGUUCAACGAUUAAAGUC